CAGUCGUAAUAAGGUUUCCGUAGGUGAACCUGCGGAAGGAUCAUUAACGAAUAACUAUGGUGUCUUGGUUGUAGCUGGCUCCUCGGAGCAAUGUGCACGCCCGCCAUUUUUAUCUUUCCACCUGUGCACCGACUGUAGGUCUGGAUGACUCUCGCACUCCGGUGCGGAUGCGAGGAUUGCUCUCGGGCUCUCCUCGAAUUUCCAGGCUCUACGUCUUUUUACACACCCCAAAACGUAUGAUACAGAAUGUAGUCAAUGGGCUUGAUCGCCUAUAAAACACUAUACAA
rnacentral:misc_RNA from 1 species